ACAAAAUCGGGCUGCCUGAGCUAGCAGUAGCAACCGGUUGGGGUGCCCUUCUGCAUUGUGAAGGCUUUGUUCUUUGGCUCUUUGCGAUAAAUCUUGCUGCUGCUCACUUUUUGGGUCCACGCUGCCUUUAUGAGCUGUAACACUCUCUGUGAAGGUCUGUAGCUUCACUCCUGAAGCCAGAGAGACCACGGGAAGGAACGAACAACUCCAGACGCCCCGCCUUAAAAGCUGUAACACUCACCGCGAAGGUCUGCAGCUUCACUCCUGAGCCAGUGAGACCACGAACCUACCAGAAGGAAGAAACUCCAAACACAUCUGAACAUCAGAAGGAACAAACUCCGGACACGCCGCCUUUAAGAACUCUAACACUCACCGCUAGGAUCCGCGGCUUCAUUCUUGAAGUCAGAUGAAGAGAUUGAAAAGUUAAGGAACAUGCACCAGGCAAGCAGCAAAGACUGCCCUUUUCCAUGAUUUUAUCCACUUCUUCCACUCCGCCUGAAACCUGUCUGCCUGAGCCCUGCCGAGACCCAGGCCCAGUUUUCUGUCUCGGAUUACUUCAGAGUUUGGCUUGGGCCUUUUCUUCAGGAAUCAUGCUGUGACUCGCUUAGGAUGGUGAUAGGAGUAAAACGAAAGGCACUGUCAGAACAGAGAAAUGGAGAGAUUUAUUUAGGAGAAGAAAUCUCAGUCUCUGUAUCAUCUGCUGGGUGAAGCAACUUUCCAUCUGAGAGAAAGGAGUGCCCACACCCUGUCUACCCACGUCCAGGCCAGCUUAAAAGUCUAACAGGACUUAUGUGCGCAAAACCCUUUCCUGAAUAAUUGUGACAAAGUAAUCUUUUGAAAAAGAGAGAGUUGAAAAAAGAAUCUUCAAAAGGGGACAGUGAUCAUGAAGGCGCUGGAAGGAGAAGGAGACUCUAUGUCAGUCAGGAAAUCUGCAGGCUAGUGGUUCUCAAUGAGAAGAGAUUUUGCCUCCCAGGGACAUUUGGCAACGUCUGAAGGUAUUUUUGUUCGUUCGUUUCAACUGGAGCAGUGCUCCUGCCAGCUAGUGGAAACCCACGGAUGCCAGUAAACAUCCUACCACACACAGAUGAUAAAACUGAGGCUGCAAGAAUUUAAGUGACUUGCCCAAGGACACAUCAAGACUUGAACUCAGGAAAGUCUGGCCACAAAGGCUGGCGGCUCCCUGUCCACCUGGCUGAAGGGAACAUCCCCUGUUCUAGUGUUUGGGCCUGUCCUCUCAUUCCCCAGAGGAGCCCCCUUUCCCAGAAAGGAAGAAAGCCUGAGAUUUUCCUUCCUUAGACUUGUCGUCAUCACGCACCGCCCUGCUUCCAUCUUCCCUUCAAAAAGAAAAAGAAACCAAUCUGUCAGUUUCUGGGACUUGUAGUUGACAGACAUGCCGUUUUAUUCAAUUCAUGACCUUGUCUGGAUAUUUCCUUCUCUUUUAUGAACUCCCAGGGAGCACAUGGGAAUAAGCACAAGAUGUGGGAUCAAGAAGCCUGGGUUCAAGUCGUGGCUCCUUAGCUCAUAGACGCAUGAUUACAAGCAAACCUCAAUUUCCUCCUUGGGCUAUUGGGAGAACCAAGUGAAAUGAUGCAUGUGAAAUGCUUUGUGAGCUGAAGAGCCCUAUGUAUCUAUUCCACAACACCAACCCAUUCUCCCUAGUCAGUCAGAAUUGAGUCCAGAAUAACUGUCCCCCAUGUUGCCUCCUCCACAUUAGGGGAGAUGAAGCUGUCGACAGGGAAGUGGGGAAUCCAUCAGAGGUCUGCUGUGAGCAGAACCACCUGCCUGCCCUGUCAGGGCUGGAGUCAGAGCCAGGCAAGAUGGCUCGCGUUUAUAUAGGGCUUUGCAGUUUACAAAGCACAUCGACAUCUAUUACCUGGUUUGCUUCACACCACUCUACGAGGCAGGCAGAGUGGACAGCAUUAUCCCUGCUGGUCAAAAAAGAAAGCUAAGUCUUCAGAGAGGUAAGUUGUCCAAAGUCUCAUAGUUACCAUUGGAGAGCCGGGCUCAAACCCUGGUCUUGCCUUGGUGGGUGACUGCUGCCUCUAGUUCUGGAAGGGCAGGUCUGUGGUCCACAGCACAGCUACCUCACUCUGCUCAACACAUGGACUAGACUGGAGAGCAUAAUGAGAAACUGUAUAAAUCAUGCAUAAAUGUGUCGUUUUUUAUAAAUUGUGUAUAUAGUUAUGUAUAUAAAUUAAACAUAAAUUAACUUCAAUUAGGCAGUUUUGUCUUCAUUUCAAAUUGGGAACAUCUCAAACAUUCUGGAAGGUUCUUGAAAACCCUAUCAGCCCUAAGCACAGUGUCAAUAGAGCCUAAAGGUUAAAACCACCUGCUCCCCCAUCCCCAU
rnacentral:lncRNA from 1 species